ACAAUCGACCAUAGGAUCAGGAAAACAGGGCUUCCCGUUCGCUCAGCCGUACUUAAGCCUGAUGCCGGUACGUUAGUAGUUGCGUCGGUGACGAGCAGCGAAUCCGUACUGUUGAUUGUU
rfam:Exophiala sideris strain CBS 121828 unplaced genomic scaffold supercont1.3, whole genome shotgun sequence.